CCUACGGGUGGCUGCAGUGGGGAAUAUUGGACAAUGGGCGAAAGCCUGAUCCAGCCAUGCCGCGUGUGUGAAGAAGGCCUUCGGGUUGUAAAGCACUUUCAGUGGGGAAGAAAGCCUUGGGGCUAAUACCCUCGAGGAAGGACAUCACCCACAGAAGAAGCACCGGCUAACUCCGUGCCAGCAGCCGCGGUAAUACGGAGGGUGCGAGCGUUAAUCGGAAUUACUGGGCGUAAAGCGCGCGUAGGCGGUCUGAUAAGCCGGUUGUGAAAGCCCCGGGCUCAACCUGGGAACGGCAUCCGGAACUGUCAGGCUAGAGUGCAGGAGAGGAAGGUAGAAUUCCCGGUGUAGCGGUGAAAUGCGUAGAAAUCGGGAGGAAUACCAGUGGCGAAGGCGGCCUUCUGGACUGACACUGACGCUGAGGUGCGAAAGCGUGGGUAGCAAACAGGAUUAGAUACCCCUGUAGUC
rnacentral:rRNA from 1 species